rnacentral:rRNA from 1 species
AGCGAACGCUGGCGGCAUGCCUAACACAUGCAAGUCGCACGGGGGGGCUUCGGCCUCCCAGUGGCGGACGGGUGAGGAACGCGUAGGGACCUGUCGAGGGGUGGGGGAUAACCGCGGGAAACUGCGGCUAAUACCGCAUGACGCCGCGGCGUGACAGCCGGGGCCAAAGGCGAAAGCCGCCCGCCGAGGGGCCUGCGUCCGAUUAGCUGGUUGGCGGGGUAGCGGCCCACCAAGGCGUCGAUCGGUAGCUGGUCUGAGAGGGUGAUCAGCCACACCGGGACUGAGACACGGCCCGGACUCCUACGGGAGGCAGCAGCGGGGAAUAUUGGACAAUGGGCGCAAGCCUGAUCCAGCAAUGCCGCGUGGGUGAAGAAGGUCUUCGGAUUGUAAAGCCCUUUCGGCGGGGACGAUGGUGACGGUACCCGCAGAAGAAGCCCCGGCUAACUUCGUG